GUUUUGAUUUUCUAUUAUUUUUAAAUUAUUCACUUUGAAUUAAGUGCUUACUAGGGAUUUAAAAGUGGUAAAAUAGAAUAAUUUAUGCCAUAUCAUUAUAUUCCACCAUGUUGCUGCCGAGACUAUUGUGUUUUGUCUCAAUAGAUACACGAUUUCUUUCAACAUUCACUACUUAGAAUUGUACCCCUGGCGACCACCAGAGGGCUCUGUCAAUAGACAUCUUGAUUUCACUUGCUGGAACGCACGAUCGAAUGGAACACGGAAGUGUGUGUUCACUUCCGGUUCCGUUUUUCGGCUGAUACUGGACGCGGGAAUUUUUGACUGCAACUACAAUCAGAAAGAGACAGCUGGAUGUAAGUAAUUACCACACCAAUGACGAAAGGAAUCCAGGAGGACGCCCAGGAUGCCACUAAUUAACUUAGGGGUUAGCUCUAUAUAACAGGACUGAUGGGAGGGUGGGAUUAGGCUGUAUUUUAUACUUUGUCAUUGCUGUAUAAUAUUUGGUUUUAAUUUUGGUCCCUGAGGAAGUUCCGUACUGUGAACAAAACGCGUAGGACCUCAUUUUAAGUUUAUAUUUUCUUUUAUUGCUGGGUGAAUAUUCACCCUUAAUAAAGCCAUUUUUUCCACCAUCCUGUGAGUCUUGCUUUCCAUUCACCUAUUGGGAGCAACUGGAG